rnacentral:lncRNA from 1 species
ACAAUCAAAAAAAGAAAAUACAGAGAGAGGAACGAAGACACAGGGGAAGGGGAAACAGAAAAAAAAAUACAGAGGCACACAGAAAUACAUAAAGAAAUAACACGCAGAGCAGGGGAGAAAAAGGGAAGCACACACACAGACAAGGAUUGAUUAUCCCUGCCAUCGUUUUAUCCCUGCAAAAAAAAAAAAAAACAAAAAAUAAAGACAACAAUCGGCAUCCACAGUAAACCGGCAUCUCCAUUGUUGUCUCCUUCGUCAUCUCAAAGUCUGUUUAAAAAGAGCAGAACCGGGAGGCUGAAAGCAAGAACAGAAGCAAACCAGGAAAUAAAGAAAGCAAAGGAAAAAAUAGAGCAAGAGGAGGCAGCGUCGCUCGUCCAGCACAACGCCAUC